rnacentral:rRNA from 1 species
UGGUUUAGUGGCGGACGGGUGAGUAACACGUGAGCAACCUACCUUUCAGAGGGGGAUAACAGUUGGAAACGACUGCUAAUACCGCAUAACGUUGUAAAAGGGCAUCCAUUUACAACCAAAAGAGAAAUCUGCUGAAAGAUGGGCUCGCGGCCGAUUAGAUAGUAGGCGGGGUAACGGCCCACCUAGUCAACGAUCGGUAGCCGGACUGAGAGGUUGAACGGCCACAUUGGGACUGAGACACGGCCCAGACUCCUACGGGAGGCAGCAG